UACGAAGGGGGCUAGCGUUGCUCGGAAUCACUGGGCGUAAAGCGCACGUAGGCGGAUUGCUAAGUCAGGGUGAAAUCCUGGAGCUCAACUCCAGAACUGCCCUUGAUACUGGGAGCCUUGAGUUCGGGAGAGGUGAGUGGAACUGCGAGUGUAGAGGUGAAAUUCGUAGAUAUUCGCAAGAACACCAGUGGCGAAGGCGGACUCACUGGCCCGAGUACUGACGCUGAGGCACGGAAAGCGUGGGA
rnacentral:rRNA from 1 species